rnacentral:rRNA from 1 species
CCUACGGGUGGCUGCAGUGGGGAAUAUUGGACAAUGGGGGCAACCCUGAUCCAGCCAUGCCGCGUGUGUGAAGAAGGCCCUCGGGUUGUAAAGCACUUUCAGUGAGGAAGAACGCCUGGUGGUUAAUACCCAUCAGGAAAGACAUCACUCACAGAAGAAGCACCGGCUAACUCCGUGCCAGCAGCCGCGGUAAUACGGAGGGUGCGAGCGUUAAUCGGAAUUACUGGGCGUAAAGCGCGCGUAGGUGGCUUGAUAAGCCGGUUGUGAAAGCCCCGGGCUCAACCUGGGAACGGCAUCCGGAACUGUCAAGCUAGAGUGCAGUAGAGGAAGGUAGAAUUCCCGGUGUAGCGGUGAAAUGCGUAGAGAUCGGGAGGAAUACCAGUGGCGAAGGCGGCCUUCUGGACUGACACUGACACUGAGGUGCGAAAGCGUGGGUAGCAAACAGGAUUAGAUACCCUAGUAGUC